AUACCUUUCUCGGCCUUUUGGCUAAGAUCAAGUGUAGUAUCUGUUCUUAUCAGUUUAAUAUCUGAUACGUGGGUCAUUGACCCACAAUGAUAUUAAAUUUAUUUUUUAAGGGGGAAGGUCCACCGCAGUAGCUUGCUAUUGGGGCCUUCAAGUGUCGCCCAUGCGUUGCACUAUUGCAAGGGCCUGGCAUGCCCCUA